rnacentral:rRNA from 1 species
UACGUAGGGUGCGAGCGUUGUCCGGAAUUAUUGGGCGUAAAGAGCUUGUAGGCGGUUUGUCGCGUCUGCUGUGAAAUCUCGAGGCUCAACUUCGAGCUGUCGGUGGAAACUAUCUGGCUAGAGUCCGGAAGAGGAGGAUGGAAUUCCUGGUGUAGCGGUGAAAUGCGCAGAUAUCAGGAAGAACACCCGUGGCGAAGGCGGUUCUCUGGGACGGUACUGACGCUGAGACGCGAAAGCGUGGGGAGCGAACAGG